GGUUUCCUGGUGUAAUGGCUAGCACUGCGGAUUCUGACAACUCAAAUCAGAAUUUCAAAUUAAUUUCCGCCAAUCUGGGUUCGAUUCCCAGGGAGACCU